GACAACCCGAGAGAUCGGGCGUUCCCCUUCGGGGGGACAGGGUGACAGGUGGUGCAUGGUUGUCGUCAGCUCGUGUCGUGAGAUGUUGGGUUAAGUCCCGCAACGAGCGCAACCCUCGACCUUAGUUGCCAGCAUUCAGUUGGGCACUCUAAGGUGACUGCCGGCUAAAAGUCGGAGGAAGGUGGGGAUGACGUCAAAUCAUCAUGCCCCUUAUGACCUGGGCUACACACGUGCUACAAUGGGCGGUACAAAGGGUCGCGAACCCGCGAGGGGGAGCCAAUCCCAAAAAGCCGCUCUCAGUUCGGAUUGCAGGCUGCAACUCGCCUGCAUGAAGCCGGAAUCGCUAGUAAUCGCCGGAUCCAGCAUGCCGCGGUGAAUACGUUCCCGGGCCUU
rnacentral:rRNA from 1 species